UACGUGAGGGUGCAAGCGUUAAUCGGAAUUACUGGGCGUAAGGCGUGCGCAGGCGGUGAUGAUAAGACAGUUGUGAAAUCCCCGGGCUCAACCUGGGAAUUGCAUUUGUGACUGCACGGCUAGAGUGUGUCAGAGGGGGGUAGAAUUCCACGUGUAGCAGUGAAAUGCGUAGAGAUGUGGAGGAAUACCGAUGGCGAAGGCAGCCCCCUGGGAUAACACUGACGCUCAUGGACACGAAAGCGUGGGGAGCAAACAGG
rnacentral:rRNA from 1 species